CGUAGGGCUGGGAGGCAGGGACAAACCAUUCCCUGCGCGGGGGACACCGCCGGCGGCCGGCCGGGCGGCGCCCGGGAAGCCGAGCCCGCCCACAUGGGGACGUGCCCGCACCGAGCCUCACGGUGUACCCGGCGCGGGGUGAGGAGGCACCGGGACCGGCCCCUUGGAGCCGCCGGUCGCCCUCUGCCUCCCCCGCCGCGGCCGGCAGUGGGAGCGGCCCACGCCGUGUCCCUGCCCGGGAACGCGAGCGGGACGCAGCCACCGCGCCUCAGGCGGCGGGGACGGGGCCGCUCCUCCCCUCAGAGCCGCCCUUACCGCCCGCUUCGGCCCUCCCCGGGGCUGGCCCUGGAGCCGGGGUGCUCCCGAGCCGUGCCGGGGGGCAUUGGAAGGGUCUCCGGGUGCUGACGGUACCGGGGGCGACAGCUCGGGCCGCCGCUGAAAUCCCUGGAUCUGUGCUGAUUUCCGUCAUGUUUUAAUUAUUUUUUUCCCCCUUCCCGUUUGGUCUUAUAACCAGUGUUUUAAGCUCUGCGUGCUGUAGGCAACUCUGAGAGAGCCCUUUCAGGCUUUUUCUACAAUGUUUUGCGUCCUAGCAUGAGACGCGUGACCUAAUGACUUAAAUGGUUCAAUAGAAAUUAAAAAAUAUAGAGAGAAAUAUUCAUCAAAUAAAGGUUUUUAAUAUUUUUUUUAAUACCCAGCAACGAAGAAAGAUGUCAAUUUGAAACCUGCUAAAAUGAUGUGAAGCAUGUAAAGUUGGUUGAAAAUGUGAGUCGAUCAGCAGCAGUGUAUAUUUUUUUCCUCCUGCUUUAACAUCCUGCAAGAAAUACAACACACUAGGAGGCAACAAGAGUGACUGCUCACUAUAGGAACACAAGCCAAGAGAGAUCCCACUGCUAUAGUCCAAGAGCCUCAGCAAUCCUUCUCACAUUAUUUAAAGCAAGAAAUCCCAGCUGCCAGGAGACUGCCACUCUCUAACAGCACUGGAAUUUCCAGAAGCCCUUGACAUCAUUUGUCUGUCUCAGCCUGAGACUUAUGGAUGAAAAAGCACUGCGUAACUGAUAAUUAAAAGAAGUUAAGUGGAGAUGAUAAGCUCAAAAAUUGGUGUUUUUUUGUCAUAAGUCUUCAUACCAACAGAUGAUACAGCAUGACAUCACUGCAUCACUGUGUGAUGACAUAAGACAUCAAGAAGAAAAGGAAAAGCAGGAUUUUGCUAAAGGAUGUGCUCUGACCAGCCAAUCCUUGUCCAGCAAAUCCCAGAGGGUAGUAAUGGCUAUUGGACCUUGGUGUAUCCUCACAUAUGGAGCCUAUGCAGUGUAAUUUGCUAGUGAAGGGAUGAGCUUUAAUGCCAAGAAUAUGUUGAAGAUGCUGCAGCAUAUCUCAUUUGUUAGCGAUGCUGCUGCUGUCUUCUCAAGGAUAUCAAAAUGCUUGUCAGCACCUGGAUGAAAAUCAGCUGACUCAGAUUCAAUCUGGCUGAGAUGAAAAUGAUGAUGGCUAGAGUGGGGAAAAUGUUUAAAAAUGGGGUAACAUCUUUAUAUAUCUGUGACAAUAUCAUCAGACGCUUAUCUAUCUAAAUGUAACAGUGCCUCAGGUUUUGGGUUGAUUUGGAUUUUUUUCAUUGUCUGAGUGAUCGUGAUGGUUGGCUGCAAAAGUAUCCUUUUCCCAAGCUUAACUUCUCAUUGUGCAGAUCUGGCCAUUGCAAUCUACUUGCUCUUCCCUGCCAGAGUGAAUUACCAGGAACUCCCUGAACCUCUGGGUGAGUGAGUGCCUGAAGAAUUAAGAGUCCAGCUGUGGCAAAAUGUGACUCCCCUUCAACAGUAGCAGCAUCACUGCCCCCAGUGUUUCGCAGGUUAUUUCCUCACUAUGUUUGUCUUGUUUCUGAUCUUCAAACCAAUAAAGACCUGGCUUCCCCAGA